ACCAGAUGACAGCUCCAGUAUCUCCAAAGCAACCCGUCACUGCAGAGGAGGCUGGGAGAAUUGGCCUCUGAGCUGGGCACAUUGCUCCCCCAGCCACACCUACUGAAUUUGGAGUAUGAUAGGCAGAGGAAAGAACACAGGCUCUGGAUGGGAUCAAACUGUCAAGAUAUUAAAACACAGAGGAGGGAAGGUCACUUGCCCAGGUCACUCAGCAUCAGAUCUAGAGCCUGGGUCUCCAUGCUGUUGCUAACAUGAGAAGAUCCUUAAGGAUAUUCUGCCUGGCCUCCUCUCUCAGAGAGGUGGCCCUGACAACCUGCUAUGUGGUAGUUCAUUCUGGAGCUGCUGAUUCCUUCCUAGCCUU
rnacentral:lncRNA from 10 species